AAUUCGUUCUCGCCUCGUGUGCUAAAAUCGGAACGAUACAGAGAAGAUAAGCAUGGCCCCUGAGCCAGGAUAACACAACCGGUUUUCAGCCCCCCCCCCCCCGU